UACGGAGGGUGCAAGCGUUAUCCGGAUUCACUGGGUUUAAAGGGUGCGUAGGUGGGCUGGUAAGUCAGUGGUGAAAUCUCCGAGCUUAACUUGGAAACUGCCAUUGAUACUAUCAGUCUUGAAUAUUGUGGAGGUCAGCGGAAUAUGUCAUGUAGCGGUGAAAUGCUUAGAUAUGACAUAGAACACCAAUUGCGAAGGCAGCUGGCUACACAUAUAUUGACACUGAGGCACGAAAGCGUGGGGAUCAAACAGG
rnacentral:rRNA from 1 species